AUUGAACGCUGGCGGCAUGCCUAACACAUGCAAGUCGAACGGCAGCGCGGACUUCGGUCUGGCGGCGAGUGGCGGACGGGUGAGGAAUGCAUCGGAAUCUGCCCCGACGUGGGGGAUAACGUAGGGAAACUUACGCUAAUACCGCAUACGUCUUACGGGAGAAAGCGGGGGAUCGAAAGAUCUCGCGCGGCGGGAUGAGC
rnacentral:rRNA from 1 species